rnacentral:misc_RNA from 1 species
GAUGAAGAACGUAGCGAAAUGCGAUAAGUAAUGUGAAUUGCAGAAUUCAGUGAAUCAUCGAAUCUUUGAACGCACAUUGCGCCCGCCAGUAUUCUGGCGGGCAUGCCUGUUCGAGCGUCAUUUCAACCAUCAAGCCCCCGGCUUGUGUUGGGGACCUGCGGCUGCCGCAGGCCCUGAAAAGCAGUGGCGGGCUCGCUGUCACACCGAGCGUAGUAGCAUACAUCUCGCUCUGGGCGUGCUGCGGGUUCCGGCCGUUAAACCACCUUCAUAACCCAAGGUUGACCUCGGAUCAGGUAGGAAGACCCGCUGAACUUAAGUAUAUCAAUAAGCGGAGGA